rnacentral:rRNA from 1 species
CCCUUAGAUGUUCUGGGCCGCACGCGCGCUACACUGAUGCAUUCAACGAGCCUAUCCUUGACCGACAGGUCCGGGUAAUCUUUGAAUCUGCAUCGUGACGGGGAUAGAUUAUUGCUAUUAUUAAUCUUCAACGAGGAAUGCCUAGUAGGCGCAAGUCAUCAGCUUGCGUCGAUUACGUCCCUGCCCUUUGUACACACCGCCCGUCGCUCCUACCGAUUGGGUGUGCUGGUGAAAUGUUCGGAUCGGCCGUUUGUCGCGGUUUCCGCGUCAUGUGGCUGAGAAGUUCAUUAAACCCUCCCACCUAGAGGAAGGAGAAGUCGUAACA